AAAGUCGUAACAAGGUUUCCGUAGGUGAACCUGCGGAAGGAUCAUUAACCGCGAGCUGGCGCCGAAGUGAAUCGACAACCAGCUACGGCGGGACGUGGCCUCGCGCCACGCGUCGUCGUCACCCCUUGUCAUUGCCAAUCCCCGCGUCUCCUCGGCGGGUACGCCCGCCAGCGAGGACAGCAAACCAACCCUCUGCCGUACAUGUAGUAACCGUACCGCGACACACAAAUCAAAACUUUCAACAACGGAUCUCUUGGCUCUG
rnacentral:misc_RNA from 1 species